rnacentral:rRNA from 1 species
CAGUAGCCGCGGUAAUACGAGGGGGGCAAGCGUUGUUCGGAAUUAUUGGGCGUAAAGGGCGCGUAGGCGGUUUGACAAGUUUGGUGUGAAAUCUAUGGGCUCAACCCAUAGCCUGCAUCGAAAACUGUCGGGCUUGAGUAUGGGAGAGGUGAGUGGAAUUUCCGGUGUAGCGGUGAAAUGCGUAGAUAUCGGAAGGAACACCUGUGGCGAAAGCGGCUCACUGGACCAUUACUGACGCUGAGGCGCGAAAGCUAGGGGAGCAAACAGGAUUAGAGACCCCAGUAGUCCCUGUCUCUUAUAA